GAUGAAGAACGCAGCGAAAUGCGAUAAGUAAUGUGAAUUGCAGAAUUUAGUGAAUCAUCGAAUCUUUGAACGCACAUUGCGCCCCUUGGUAUUCCGAGGGGCAUGCCUGUUCGAGCGUCAUUUCACCACUCAAGCCUGGCUUGGUGUUGGGCGACGUCCUCUUUGGGGACGCGCCUCGAAACGCUCGGCGGCGUGGCACCGGCUUUAAGCGUAGCAGAAUCUUUCGCUUUGGAAGUCGGGGCCCCGUCUGCCGGAAGACCUGCUCGCAAGGUUGACCUCGGAUCAGGCAGGGAUACCCGCUGAACUUAAGCAUAUCAAUAAGCGGAGGA
rnacentral:misc_RNA from 1 species